GAAGAAGAAGAAGAAGAAGAAGAUAAAGAGAAAAGGGCAUAUGGGGUUUGGGUAUCUGAAGUGAUGCUGCAACAGACUAGAGCUCAGACUGUGAUUGAUUACUACAACCGUUGGAUGCUUAAAUGGCCCACUCUUCAGCAUCUGGCCCUCGCUUCUCUUGAGGAGGUGAAUGAGAUGUGGGCAGGUUUAGGAUAUUAUAGGCGGGCACGUUUUCUGUUAAAG
rnacentral:misc_RNA from 1 species